rnacentral:rRNA from 1 species
AUUGGGGCGACCUGAUCCUUCAGUUCGGCUGGCUACCACACAGGUGCUGCAUGGCUGUCGUCAGCUCGUGUCGUGAGAUGUUGGGUUAAGUCCCGCAACGAGCGCAACCUCAUCUUCAGUUGCCAUCGGGUAGAGCCGGGCACUCUGAAGAAACUGCCGGUGACAAGCCGGAGGAAGGCGGGGAUGACGUCAAGUCCUCAUGGCCUUUAUGGGCUGGGCUACACACGUGCUACAAUGGCGGUGACAGUGGGUUGGAGCGAAGGAGCGAUCCGGAGCCAAUCCCCAAAAGCCGUCUCAGUUCGGAUUGCACUCUGCAACUCGAGUGCAUGAAGCUGGAAUCGCUAGUAAUCGCGGAUCAGCACGCCGCGGUGAAUACGUUCCCGGGCCUUGUACACACCGCCCGUCACACCAUGGGAGUUGGUUCUACCUGAAGGCGGUGCGCCAACCGUAAGGGGGCAGCCGACCACGGUAGGGUCAGCGACUGGGGUGAAGUCGUAACAAGGUAGGCGUAGUGCU